rnacentral:ncRNA from 1 species
GGGUGCCAAAAACAUUGGCACCUGCGUAUGAAACACAAAAACCACUCAUCCCCCCAAUAGAGGCGUAGGGAAUGAGGUCUAAACCUUCACUUUGAACAUUUUUUUUCGAGAUUCUAUGGGUGGUGGUGCAUGGCCGUUCUUAGUUGGUGGAGCGAUUUGUCUGGUUAAUUUCGUUAGCGAACGAGACCUUAGCCUGCUAACUAGCUAUGCGGAGGUAUCCCUCUGCGACUAGCUUCUAAGAGUGACUACGACCUUUCAAGCCGCGGAAGUUUGAGGCAAUAAGAUGUUUGUGAUGCCCUUAGAUAUUCUGGGCCGCACGCGCGCUACACUGAUGUAUUCAACGAGCAUAUAGCCUUGGCCGACAGGCUUAGGUAAUCUUUGAAAUUUCAUCGUGAUGGGGAUAGUUCAUUACAAUUGUUGGUCUUCAACGAGGAAUUCCUAGAAAGCGCGAGUCUUCAGCUCGCGUUGACUCCGUCCUUGCCC